AGUGAACGCUGGCGGUAGGCCUAACACAUGCAAGUCGAACGGCAGCACAGUAAGAGCUUGCUCUUACGGGUGGCGAGUGGCGGACGGGUGAGGCAUACAUCGGAAUCUACUUUUUCGUGGGGGAUAACGUAGGGAAACUUACGCUAAUACCGCAUACGACCUACGGGUGAAAGCAGGGGAUCUUCGGACCUUGCGCGAUUGAAUGAGCCGAUGUCGGAUUAGCUAGUUGGCGGGGUAAAGGCCCACCAAGGCGACGAUCCGUAGCUGGUCUGAGAGGAUGAUCAGCCACACUGGAACUGAGACACGGUCCAGACUCCUACGGGAGGCAGCAGUGGGGAAUAUUGGACAAUGGGCGCAAGCCUGAUCCAGCCAUACCGCGUGGGUGAAGAAGGCCUUCGGGUUUUAAAACCCUUUUGUUGGGAAAGAAAAGCGGCAGGUUAAUACCCCGCUGUUCUGACGGUACCCAAAGAGUAAGCACCGGCUAACUUCGUG
rnacentral:rRNA from 1 species